rnacentral:rRNA from 1 species
AGAGUUUGAUCCUGGCUCAGGAUGAACGCUAGCUACAGGCUUAACACAUGCAAGUCGAGGGGCAGCAUUGGAGUAGCAAUACUUCAGAUGGCGACCGGCGCACGGGUGAGUAACACGUAUCCAACCUGCCGCUUACUCGGGGAUAGCCUUUCGAAAGAAAGAUUAAUACCCGAUGGUAUAAAGAGUUCGCAUGUUCUCUUUAUUAAAGAAUUUCGGUAAGCGAUGGGGAUGCGUUCCAUUAGAUAGUUGGCGGGGUAACGGCCCACCAAGUCUACGAUGGAUAGGGGUUCUGAGAGGAAGGUCCCCCACAUUGGAACUGAGACACGGUCCAAACUCCUACGGGAGGCAGCAGUGAGGAAUAUUGGUCAAUGGACGCGAGUCUGAGCCAGCCAAGUAGCGUGAAGGAUGACUGCCCUAUGGGUUGUAAACUUCUUUUAUAAGGGAAUAAAGUGAGGGACGUGUCCCUUUUUGUAUGUACCUUAUGAAUAAGGAUCGGCUAACUCCGUGCCAGCAGCCGCGGUAA